UACAGAGGUCCCAAGCGUUGUUCGGAUUCACUGGGCGUAAAGGGUGCGUAGGCGGUCGGGUAAGUCUGAUGUGAAAUCUCACAGCUUAACUGUGAAACUGCAUUGGACACUAUCCGGCUCGAGGAAUGGAGGGGAGACUGGAAUACUUGGUGUAGCAGUGAAAUGCGUAGAUAUUGGGAGGAACACCAGUGGCGCAAGCGGCUAUCUGGACUGACAUUGACGCUGAGGCACGAAAGCGUGGGGAUCAAACAGG
rnacentral:rRNA from 1 species